rnacentral:lncRNA from 10 species
UGGACAGAAAGGCUACAGGAUGCAGUCCCGGCUCUUGUGUAAGAAUUCUGACCGCACUAACCAUGCCUAGGAAGGAAAGGAGUUGUUGUUUUGUAGGAGGGAUUGGGGUUUGGGAGAUUAGCCAGACACGAUCAGCAGGGAGAGCACGUGUGUUUUUAUGAGAAUUAUGCCGAGAUAGGUAACAGAUGAAGAAAUUUGGGCUUGACUGAAGUAAUGGGGGCUGUCUCUGAAGCCUUGCCUAGGGAGCUUCCGAGGCGAUCUUGCAGUGUCAGCCUUCAGCCGCUAAGCCGAGAAGAUCUGGGAAGGAGUCAGAGAGCCUUGGGCCAGAGUUCCAGGGGCUCUGGGAGUGGCUGCCAGGUGAGUUGAACAGUCCAAUUUUCAGUGGGGGUCCUUCACAGAUGGGACGCGGCUUAGGAGGAAUCCCAGGCUGCGGACAUUCCUUGGCCUGGUGGCCAGAUUUCUGGCGCUUGUAGCAAGCUCCUGGGGGAGGAGGUUCUGGAGGAAUGCCUGGCAGCUGCGGUUCAGGCGUUUGGAAGUUCUUGUGUGCUGGAGAUGUGGCUGGAGUUUGUCUCACACUGGAGGUAAGGAAUUGCAACUUUUUUCUAUUAUUGUACACCUUGAAGGCAAUGUUAAUUAAGUCUUGCUGUGGGGUUUGAGGGCUGGAAUUUAUAUUUUGGAGCUUUAUUU